UUUCGUACUAAUAUGAAUUAAUAAUCUUAGGAUAGAAACCGACCUGGCUCACGCCGGUCUGAACUCAGAUCAUGUAAGAAUUUAAAGGUCGAACAGACCUAAUUACUGGGCUACUGCACCCAAAAUUUUUCUUAAUCCAACAUCGAGGUCGCAAUCUGCUUUGUCGAUAUGAGCUCUCAAAAACAAUUACGCUGUUAUCCCUAAGGUAACUUAAUCUUAUGAUCGUAAAUUAUGGAUCAAAACAACAAACAUAAUAAAUGAUAUAAUAAUGAAGAGUUUAUUUAUUCUUCAUGUCACCCCAACAUAACAUCAUCAUUAAAUACAGGAAGACAAACAAAA